rnacentral:rRNA from 1 species
CAGUCGCCACGGUAAUACGAAGGGGGCUAGCGUUGCUCGGAAUGACUGGGCGUAAAGGGCGCGUAGGCGGAUUGUUUAGUUAGGCGUGAAAUUCCUGGGCUUAACCUAGGAAUUGCAUUUGAUACGUGUAGGCUAGAGUGGGGAAGAGGGUUGUGGAAUUCCCAGUGUAGAGGUGAAAUUCGUAGAUAUUGGAAGGAACACCUGUGGCGAAAGCGGCUCACUGGCUCAUUCUAGACGCUGAGGUGCGAAAGCGUGGGGAGCAAACAGGAUUAGAUACCCCUGUAGUCCCUGUCUCUUAUAU